UAUCUGGCUGAAUAAGGCCCAACAUC
rnacentral:misc_RNA from 1 species